rnacentral:tRNA from 6 species
GCGGGCAUGAUGAAAUUGGCAGACAUGCGAGAUUUAGGUUCUCGUGCCGCAAGGCGUUGGGGUUCAAGUCCCCAUGCCCGCACCA